CGGGCUGUGGCGCAGUUUGGGAGCGCGCUUGAAUGGGGUUCAAGAGGUCGCAGGUUCAAAUCCUGUCAGCCCGACCA
rnacentral:tRNA from 1 species